AGCUCGUCGACUGUGAGCGUCGCAAGGUCCUUUGACUCUUCUAUCGCGCACACAAUACUCUCAAAAUUGUCUGUUAAUGUUCUCAAAAUCUUCUCCACAACUCGUGCAUCGGUUAGAGUUUCACCGUUUCGGUUGAGUUGAUUCACCACACCUGUACACGCGUGAUGUAGUCAGAUACACUUUCUGACUCCGUCAUCUUCAUGUUCUCCAACUCGCCACGCAGAGUUUGUAGACGCACUUGCUUAACUCGGUCAGCUCCUUUGAACACCUUCUCCAAUAUGUCCCAUGCUUCCUUUGAAGUGGACGCACCAGCAAUCUUCUCAAAAAUUGCCUCAUCAACAGCUCUAUACAACAUGUACAAAGCUGCCUUAUCUUUCGAUCGCAUCUCUUUCAAUGCCUUGGUUUGAGCUGCCGUAUAACCCGUGGUAUUGGUCGGUUCUUCAAAACCUUCUUCAACCACCUCCCAUGAAUCCUGAGAACCGAGAAGAGCUAUCAUUUGAAUGCUCUAGUUGUCAUAUCUGGUCGCCUU
rnacentral:lncRNA from 1 species